GGAUAUAGCUCAAAUGGUAGAGUGCAUGCUUAGCAUGCACAAGGUCCUGGGUUCAAUCCCCAGUACCUCCA
rnacentral:tRNA from 1 species